CAGUAGCCGCGGUAAUACGUAGGGUGCAAGCGUUAUCCGGAAUUAUUGGGCGUAAAGAGCUCGUAGGCGGUUUGUCGCGUCUGCUGUGAAAACUGGAGGCUCAACCUCCAGCCUGCAGUGGGUACGGGCAGACUAGAGUGCGGUAGGGGAGAUUGGAAUUCCUGGUGUAGCGGUGGAAUGCGCAGAUAUCAGGAGGAACACCGAUGGCGAAGGCAGAUCUCUGGGCCGUAACUGACGCUGAGGAGCGAAAGCGUGGGGAGCGAACAGGAUUAGAUACCCGAGUAGUCCCUGUCUCUUAUAC
rnacentral:rRNA from 1 species